rnacentral:hammerhead_ribozyme from 1 species
GCACUGCUGAGGAGUCCCACAAUUGGACGAAACGGCCGUCCAAUGC